rfam:Gossypium raimondii Chr01_contig_266, whole genome shotgun sequence.
UAUUAAAAGUUCAUUCAUCUCUAUUGUUAAAAACUACUGGUGUAUUUUUUAUGGAAUAACCAGAUAGUUAUACAUGGUCUGCCAUGUAUAUCUUAUGCUAAAAUACAUGGACCAGUUUUUAAUAGUAGUAAUGGAUGAAAUUUUUAAGA